rnacentral:rRNA from 1 species
AGCGAACGCUGGCGGCAGGCCUAACACAUGCAAGUCGAACGAACCCUUCGGGGUUAGUGGCGGACGGGUGAGUAACACGUGGGAACGUGCCUUUAGGUUCGGAAUAACUCAGGGAAACUUGUGCUAAUACCGAAUGUGCUCUUCGGGGCAAAGAUUAAUCGCCUUUAGAUCGGCCCGCGUCUGAUUAGCUAGUUGGUUGAGGUAAUGGCUCACCAAGGCGACGAUCAGUAGCUGGUCUGAGAGGAUGAUCAGCCACAUUGGGACUGAGACACGGCCCAAACUCCUACGGGAGGCAGCAGUGGGGAAUAUUGCGCAAUGGGCGAAAGCCUGACGCAGCCAUGCCGCGUGAAUGAUGAAGGUCUUAGGAUUGUAAAGUUCUUUCACCGGGGACGAUAAUGACGGUACCCGGAGAAGAAGCCCCGGCUAACUUCGUG